UUUUAUUGAACUAAAACUUAAUAGCUGGUUGUGCAGCAACAGCUGCUACCAAACACUUCCAAUAACUGGAGAUUAGUCAUUCGCAACGCUGUGGUGGAAUUUUGUCUCACUCUUCUUUGCAGAACUGCUUUAGUUCAGCCACAUUGGAGGGUUUUUGAGCAUGAACUGCCCAUUUAAGGUCCUGCCACAACAUCACAAUCGGGUUCAAAUAGUCAGGACUUUGACUAGGCCACUCCAAACAUUUAAUUUAGCUUAUUUUGAGCCAAUCAGAGGUGGACUUACUCCUGAACUUUGGAUCAUUGUUUUGCUGCAUAUUCCAGUUGCGCUUGAGCUUAAACUCACGAACAGAUGACAGGAAGUUCUCCUUUAGGAUUUUCUAAUAGAGAGAAUUCAUGUUUCCCUCAGCUAUUGCAUCGCCCUGACGCAAUAAAGCAUCCCCACAUCAUCACACUACCACCAUGAUUGACAGCAGGUAUGAUGUUCUUUUUGUGGAAUUCUGUGUUUGAUUUACGCGAGAUGUAACGGGACUUCGGUCUUCCAAACAGUUCCACUUUUGACUCGUCAGUCCACAGAACAUGCUCUGAAAAUAUCGGAGGAUCAUCAAGGUGCGUUUCGGCAAAAUUCUGAUGAGCCUUAAUGUUCUUCUGGGUUUGCAGUGGUUUUCGCCUCACCACUCUUCCAUGGCUGCCAUUUUUGGUCAGUGUCUUUCUUAUAGCUGAGUCAUGAAUAAUGACCUUAAUUGAUGCGAGAAAGACCUGCAGUUCCUUGGAUGUUGUCCUUGGCUUUUUUGUGACUUCCUGGAUGACUCUUUGCUGUGCUUUUGGAAGAAUUUUGGAAGGUCUGCCACUUCUGGAAAGCUCAGACCUGAAGCCUUUUGGGAUGGAUUGAAACAGCGACUGAGAGGCAGGGCCCAACAUCAGUGCCUGACCUCACUGAUGCUCUUGUCCCUGAAUGGGAUCCCCUCAGCCAUGUUCCAACAUCUAGUGGAAAGCCUUUCCAGAAGAGUGGAAGCUGUUAUGAAGAACCAACUCCCUAUUAAUGCCAAUGGAUUUGAAAUUAAAUGCAUUACAAGCACAUGUGGAUGUGGUGUUCAGAUUGCAUCAAGUCAGAAAACACCAAUCAAUUUAGGCUUUGCUUCCAGACCAACACAGCCAUGCAUCUCGGUUUCCAGAUGUUUACUCAAUAUAAUCUUGCCUCAAGUAUCAAUCCAUUAAA